GGGAGACCCUACAAUGCAAUGGUGUCAGGUGGCUUCUGCCCCAGCAUAACCUUCAUGAUGCACAGCAGAGAAGCCCUGCAAAUCCUGGAUGUGGGAAAGUUUUGGUCAUGGCACCAGCUUAAUUUUACAUUAUAGAAUCUCCUGGAGAGAAAACUUACCAGUGUUGUGCAUGGGAGAAGAGAUGUGGUGGCAGCUCUCAUCUUUGAAGAUACCAGAAAACCCACAGCUCAGGAAUGGUUCAACAGGGGAGAGUUCUAUGAGAUUCGAUUUCCUUGGUCAUAGGCAACUUACUGGGCAACGAGAGAAUUCACUACCCAAAAGGUUGUUCUUUCUUCCUGGAUCCAAACCACCGGAGCUGCACUUUCUGGGAGAGGACCCCAAGCUAAUGGCUGGGUCGCACACAGAUGGCUCCGGUACUUUUGUAAAAACAACAAAAACUUUUGAUAGAUUUAACCACAGGCUUCCUCCCUGCCCCAGUAGCGUAGCAAACAUUUCUAUCGAAUUCAACAUGCUCCGUGCACCCAUUUAUUGAUGUAAUUGGAA
rnacentral:lncRNA from 1 species